CUACGGGUCGCUGCAGUGGGGAAUAUUGGACAAUGGGGGAAACCCUGAUCCAGCAAUGCCGCGUGUGUGAAGAAGGCCUGCGGGUUGUAAAUCACUUUCGGUUGGGAGGACUGCUUCUAGCACUAAUAUUGUUGGAAGUUGACGUUACCUUCAGAAGAAGCACCGGCUAACUCCGUGCCAGCAGCAGCGGUAAUACGGAGGGUGCAAGCGUUAAUCGGAAUUACUGGGCGUAAAGCGCGCGUAGGCGGCUAGAUCAGUCGGGUGUGAAAGCCCCGGGCUUAACCUGGGAACUGCAUCCGAUACUGUCUAGCUUGAGUACAGGAGAGGAGAGUGGAAUUCCACAUGUAGCGGUGAAAUGCGUAGAUAUGUGGAGGAACACCAAUGGCGAAGGCAGCUCUCUGGCCUGAUACUGACGCUGAGGUGCGAAAGCGUGGGGAGCAAACAGGAUUAGAUACCCGGGUAGUC
rnacentral:rRNA from 1 species